ensembl:lncRNA
AUGGCGAAAAAGAGUAGUUCCAAAAAGUCAUUCAAAAGCUUGUUUUCUAAAAGCGAAGCCAAUUUAACCGACCCGGUGGAGAAAGAUGACGGUGGACGUAAAAUGUUUAAACUCUUCAAAUUCAAGAAAAAGAGGAAACCCAACAAAGAUGAAGAGAAGCAAGUCGUCGCCGGUGCUGCUGAGACCAAUGGAUCUGGUGGUGAUGCCCUGGGGAGGGAUGCUGAGGACUGGCCUGAUGUCAGUCACACCAAGAAGACCAGAUCUCUGACUGCUCCCAGAUCAAAGGCCAAGGACCUCAGCUACUCAGAGAUGGACCUCCGUGCCAAGCCCAAGAGGUUCGGCACGUUCACCUUUGGCUUGAAGAGGAGGAAGAAGAAGAGUGCCGGGGAUCUCUCCCAGAGCAUCGUGGUCCUCCAUGGCCCCGAGCCAGAGGACAAAGGGCAAGAGGAGGAGGAGCUUCUGAACCUCAGCCUCUGGGACAUCGGCCAAGGCGGCACUCUGAACAAGAGCGUAAGGUUCGCUGUGUCUCAGCCUGACCUAAACACUAAGACACUGGUCACCUCUUAUCCUCCUCCCACUGUCCCCAAGAAAUCGCAGGCCCAGGAGCCACCGAUGGACAGUCCUAAGACUGCCACUAACCAACCAAAUUCCCAGAUGGAUAACAUUAUUCCUCUUGAAGUGGGCCGGGCUACAAGAAAAGUUCCUUUAGCUAUGCCUGAGGUGGAGUGGAACGAGAUCUCACAGGAAGAGGAGAGCCCGGAUGUUCAGUGUGACAACCCGUAUGCCUCAACAGACCAUACUGACACAGCUUCUCCAAUGGAUGUUGAUAGCUUUAACCGAAGUCCUCCACCUUUCCCACCUAACCCACCUCCACCGUCCUAUCCAUCUAGCCCACCCCCCUGCUACCCAUUGAGCCCAGCUACAUCCUUUUCCCCCUUUAGCUCUCCUCCUGCUACAGUUUACACCUCAAACGAGAGUGAUGAAAUGUCCCCCUUACCACUAUUCACAGGGUCAGCACUGGGUAUUUUUCAUCCUGUCCUUCCUGUGACUGAACUCUCACUUAGCAAAACUGAGGCCUCUUAUGUUACUCUCUCCAUUGGACAACCUGUUGUUGUUGAAAAUAUCACCACUGUUACCCCUAAUACAGAUCCCUCUCCCAUUGCCUUGGACCCCAAUAUAGAUGCCACUAUUACUGAAACGGACACAACUGACGUUAAACCCGAGACCUUUCCUCUGAACCCUGAUUCUUUGGCUGACAACACUGAGACACCUAUUCUCAACACCGUCACCUCUGCUCUUAUCACCGUCAACUCUGUUACUGACAUGGACACCAACUCCAUCAAUGAUACCUCUGUCUCCACCACUGAUACAUCUAGGCCUAUGCCUGAAACGAUCACCUCCAUCACCUCUGAAGAGUUCAGCAUUGCUAUUGCUGAUCCUGGCCCCUCUCUCGCUGAAAUGGUCAUCCCCGUUCCAAGCACUGACAAAUCUACACCUGAAAUGCUAGCCUCCUUUGCAAACACUGUCAACUCCAUUACCAACAGUGUCAACACUGUCCCCAACACUGACACUUUCUCUGCCAACACGGAGGUAUUUGGAACUCUGUAUGACUCACUAUUUCCGCAAAGUUUCACCUCGGAACAAAAAUCUGCCACAUCAGACAAUGACUCUACUGAGGGAUGCCUCGACACCAACCUAACCGUAAUAAAGGAUGAAACUAACCCACACCUGUCCUUGGAUAGCCCCUUUGACUCACCAAGUCCCAUUUUACCUGAAUCAGUUAAACAGGAGUCUAAAACUGCCAUUGAUCACACUGAAGCUAGUGUCAGUGACCCCACCCAAUCAUUACAGUCUGCCACUGACGCCCUUGUCCCCGGCAUGGAUAUACCUGCCACUGCAGUCUCCAAAAUGGAUUCCAGCCACCCUGACACAGACACCACUGCUAAUACUAACCUCACUGUUACUGAUACCGACUCUCAACCACUAUUCGAAGAUCUUUACGACUCUCUUUUCCCUGGAAUGUUCCCCUCACCUCACAUAUCUGGCCACACCGCAUCUGCUCUCAGCACUUACACUUCUGGCAUUGUGACAUCGGGCGUGAUGAUGGACACUCGAUGCACACCUCCUAAUAUAGACGCUCCUUUUGAGAACAAGCUUCCCCCUGUUCCUCAAACAGACACUGUCCACCCUAGCACAGAUGUCUCCCUCGCUGAGCCUGAGGCCUUUGCGCCUCUGUGCUUUGAGCCUACACUCCCCACAACUGAGCCAAUGGAAAUGGAUGACUUAGAGCCUGAGCGUCCCACCUCAGACUCACCUCUCCCAAAUACCGAUAUCGCUGUCCCUGAUACUGGCUCUAGUGACACAUGUGAAUCUCUCUAUGACUUUCUUUUCCCUGAACGUUUUCUUUCUGACCAGGUGUCCACCAUUUCUGACCCCGACCGUGAUAAACCAGUCUACGUUACGGACACCGAUUCUGUUCCACUCCGACCAGAUUGCAACACUCGACCAAACCUUGUUGAUCAGUCGGAGCCUUUGACCGCAGCUCUUCCAGUUGACCUUGAUACGGAGGACACUGAAAACACAGAUCUCGUCCUUCAUCAUUCUGAUAUGAACAUGGACAACUCUGAUCACAUUCUCUCGGACAAUGUCACCCUCGUUUCUGACAUUCUUAGCGCUAGCCAUCCAAGCACUAAGAAUUCCAGUACUCUUGAAACCAACAUCUCCAUUGAUGCGUCCGUCGCCUCAACAAUAGCAGAGACAAUGGCUACUGAAACAGGUCAAGAAGUAGCAGUGCAGAUUAUGAAAGAGGAAAAUGGACAGAUUGAGCAGAAUAUUAUGUCCUAUGAUGUAGACAUUGUCAGGGAAAGAUCAAAUGACAUGUCCACCAUGGCUACUGAGAAAGUUCAAGAAGCAGAGGUGGAGGUAAUGGAUGAGGCCAACAGCAUAGAUUCUAAUAGACAGAUUAAGGAACAAAUGCCCUGUGAUGCAGACGUUAACAGGGCAAGCUCACAGUGUGUGAUCAUACCAGAGAACAGCAAUGCCAUGGAAGUCGCAAUACCAGCGGUCCAUUACAGCAUCCUGGAGGAUUACAUGGAGGAGAGUGGCGUUGAAGAGGAAAUGAAAGGAGCGGGAAAACAACGGAGGAAUGGUAAUGAAACAGUUGACGCGGGAUGGAGUUUGGGGUCACAGAAAGUAACGUUAGAAACGAAGGAUAGAGGUCAAGAGAAUGAAGUCCACCGAGAGGAGAAGAGACGCAUUGAGUCCCCAGAAGACGGUGAUGCAGAGAGGCUGGUGCCGGUGGAGGAGAGAGGAGCGAGAGAGGUCUCGGCACUGGUGAAAGAAGGGUGGGAGGAUGGGGUGGAACCAGCCCUACCUGUUCUGCAGGUGCACACACUCAUGGAAUGUGAGUCUCCCGCCCCGCCUUCCAUCACAGAGCAGCAUGGAGAGGAGGAGGGGUCAGGGAGUAACCGGAGUGCAGUUACACACGCUUACCUGGUAACGGAGGCCUGCGCUGAUGCACAUACACUCAGACAGACCCCAGGUCACGAAGAGCCACAGGAGUCUCACAGCGGCGAGAAUGAACACGCUGUCACCGGCAACAGAGAGAGACGGGACACACUCGCAACACAUAACACACUCGCACACACCACAGGCCGAGAGGGGAGCAUUUUAGACACACUCACAGCAGAGGAAGCGGACCUAGUCACUCGUACUACCGAGGACACAUCCUCUUUCUCUGAGCAGAAAGCAAAAGUGAACACCACUAGCACGCAUGGCGAGAACACAUUCACACUUGACAGAGAAGCGACAGCGACAGACACAGAGUCCAGAACAUACACUGUAAAGAUAGAACAUGAAGGGACACUCGGUACUGAGUGGAUAGACAGCAUUGUCACGCAGGAAACAGACCGAGCCAGUUCAGAGCCAGUGCCAGAGCAGGUGGCAGUGAAUCCUCCUGUCACACGAGACACAAUCCUCGACAGACUUCGAAAGAGAGCCAACGGUUUUGCCACUGAGGACACAGAGAGACCCGGUGCAGAGCCAGAGCAGGUGGGAGGGACGCUAUCAGUCACUGCAGAUACACUCCUCAACUCACUGAGGAACAGAGUCAAAUUCCUCAGCCAGCCCGAAGGGUGUGGUGAUGAGCUGAGUUACCUGCUGAAACGGAGGGAUGGAGAAGUACCAAGACACACACCGGAGAGAAGUUUGAAAUAGUUUAGGGGAAAAAACACUGCUACAGAAUAGCAUUGUUGUGGUGAUGUGCUGUCAACUUUUUCCGAAGUGGCAGUAUGAAAUGAAGGAGGAGUUGUGAGGAUAGAUGAACUCCAUUUACUAUAGGUAAACAUUGGUUGUCGGUUCACAAAAGGACUGCUGUUUAGUCUGUAAGACAUAAACUCAGCAAAAAAAGAAGCGUCCUAUCACUGUCAACUGUGUUUAUUUUCAGCAAACUUAACAUGUGUAAAUAUUUGUAUGAACAUAAGAUUCAACAACUGAGGCAUAAACUGAACAAGUUCCACAGACAUGUGACUAACAGAAAUGGAAUAAUGUGUCCCUGAACAAAGGGGGGGUCAAAAUCAAAAGUAACAGUCAGUAUCUGGUGUGGCCACCAGCUGCAUUAAGUACUGCAGUGCAUCUCCUCCUCAUGGACUAUACCAGAUUUGCCGGUUCUUGCUGUGAGAUGUUAUCCCACUCUUCCACCAAGGCACCUGCAAGUUUCCGGACAUUUCUGGGGGGAAUGGCCCUAGCCCUCACCCUCCGAUCCAACAGGUGCCAGACGCGCUCAAUGGGAUUGCUGGGACUGACAUUCCUGUCUUGCAGGAAAUCACACACAGAAUGAGCAGUAUGGCUGGUGGCAUUGUCAUGCUGAAAGGUCAUGUCAGGAUGAGCCUGCAGGAAGGGUACCACAUGAGGGAGGAGGGUGUCUUCCCUGUAACGCACAGCGUUGAGAUUGCCUGCAAUGACAACAAGCUCAGUCCCAUGAUGCUGUGACACACCGCCCCAGACUGUGAACCUCCACCUCCAAAUCGAUCCUCGAUAAAGGUUUUGUUGUUGUUGUGCACUCUCCUCAAACAAAAGCAUUGUAUUUUAUCACUGUAAUAGCUACUGUAAAUUGGACAGUGCAGUUAGAUUAACAAGAAUGGAAGCUUUCUUGUCAAUGUAAGACAUGUCUAUGUCCUGGAUUGUUGGAUGUUACUGACAACGUCAUUGUAGACACAUUAGCACACAUUAGCAACAACAGUCCCGGUAUGGAGACGCCGAUCCCGUAGAGGUUUUAAGAGAUGCUGAAAGAAAGAAAUCAUAUUUCUCCACUCCUAUUCCUUAGACAAAAUGAACAUAUGUUUUAUAAUAUCACUGCAAAAAAAUGCUAAAUUCUGCAGGAAUUCAUAUUAUAUUAAUCUACAUGUGAAAUGUUAUAUAGGCCUGCAGUCUGUGUCCAUAUUUCACUUACUAUUCCAUUUAACCCACAUACUUAAUGAGGAAUAUUCUGUUUAUUCAUGGACACAGGGAUACUCAUGAGCGGGAUAUCAAAGGUGCAUGUAAACAGCUCAUUCCCAAUAAGAAUUUAAGCGAGUUUUUAGCUACUAUCCGGAAUACUGUGCACAUGUAAACGUGGUCAGUGGUUCUAAUGGUUCAGUGGGUCAGAGCAAGGUUUCCCAAACUCGGUCCUGGGGUUCACCCAUGAGUGCAUGUUUUGGUUUUUGUCCUAGCACUACACGGCGGAUUCAAAUCAUCAAAGCUUGAUGAUGAGUAGGUUAUUUGAAUCAGCUGUGUAUUGCUAGUUCGUUUAAAAAAAAAAAACUGAAUGUGCACCCAGGGGAGUCCCAGGACAGCGUUAGGGAAACCCCAUGUUAGAGCAGGGGUUUUCUAACCUCUCCUCUGGGACACUAAUCCGUUCCAUGUAUUUGAACUAUUCCAGGGCUGGCAAACCUGGUUCAACUUGUCAACUAUUUAUCAAGCCCUUGACUCUGAAUCAGGGGAGCUAGUUCCAUGCUUCUAAAUCCUGGUCCUGGUGACCCAAAUGGGUGCACAUUUUUGUUUUUGCCCCAGCACUCGCACACCUGAUUCAAGGCAAAGGCUUGUUGAGGAGUUGAGUGCAGUGUGUGAGUGCAGUGUGUGAGUGCUAGAGGGAGAACUCAAAUGUGCACCCCUUUGGAUCCACAGGGCCAGGAUUGACAAAACAAUCCUGAGUUGGUUCAGGGCUACAACAAAAUGGUUAGGUUUCUGGAUGGGUUUAAAAACCACUGGGUUAGAGCAUGGUGCUGGCAACAUCAGGGUCGUAGUUUCAAUUCCCACGUGGACCACAUGCUGAACACACGUGUCGGCGUCAAUGCUGACGUUUCUGUAAGUCUCUUUUGGAUAAAAGCGUCGGUCACACUUUAUUUGGAUAGUCCAUCUGUAGAUGCUCUCGUACAUGGUCAUACUAUCAACAAACUAUCUGUUGAUAAGCGACUGCUGGCUAAGGUUACAGUUGCGGUUAGGUUUAGAAUAAGGGUUAGGGUAGGGUUGAUUUUAGGGUUAGGAUAAAGGUUAGGGUUAGUAGAGAAUUAGUUGAAAUGUUAAUGACUAGUCUGUAGAGCAUCUACAGAUGGACUAUCCAAUGAAAGGGAUACCGAGGCUGCUAAAAGACCAUUUAUUAGUCAUACCGACAAAACGUAGUAAGUAUGCAACAGUGACCUAUGAGGAAUACACGUCUGAUAUCUGUGUGUUUGGAUUUGACAUAUGAGAGAACUCCGGUUGUACGCCCAACAGGUGUGUGAUUAGGUUCAUCGCAACACAUUGCUAUUGUUUGAUCUUAUGACCUUCUCCUUUGCUCCUGGAAACCACCCGCCCCUUCCGUGAAGAGUAGGUAGGGCACUUUGGUUAAUGUCACUGCCUGUUUCCCCAACGCAAAGAGCUUUAACAUAACAGUAAUUGGCUGUGAAAUGUUAUUUGACACGUGUGGAAUAGUACUGGGAUUCAACAACACUGUCUGGAGUUCUUUGGCCCAUUUGGAGGUGAGGAAAAAAAAUGGUGAUUCAUUUCAAAGUCAUUUCAACAUUGCCUGAUUGUUAACCUGUGACGUUCAAAAAGUUAACCUGUGACGCUCAAAAGUGAUUUAACAGAGUUAAAUCGACAGCAGCAUCACGACAGUGGGUUGGGCAUGGUAUCAUUUGAAACCUGUUGACUUUUUAAAGUAACCUUUUUAGCUUUCAUCAACUCUUCAUGGAACAUUGCAAACACAAGCUAAAGUCUCCGUUUUAAACCACAUUGUUGCAAUGUGUGUAGGCCUAUAGGCACGGAGAGAGUCUGUGGAGCUGUUGACAUUCUAGAAGUUCUGUGUGCAUUUUUUUUUUUUUGUGCCUCACUGUACGUUUUAGGAAGAAAAUAUAAAUUGGCCCACCACAGUGAAUGCAACUGUUGAGCAUGUAGCCUAGCUUCUGUUAACACUUUUUACAGUACACCCAAUUCUGCAUACCUAAAGUUCAC